GACGAACGCUGGCGGCGUGCCUAAUACAUGCAAGUAGAACGCUGAAGGAGGAGCUUGCUUCUCUGGAUGAGUUGCGAACGGGUGAGUAACGCGUAGGUAACCUGCCUGGUAGCGGGGGAUAACUAUUGGAAACGAUAGCUAAUACCGCAUAAGAGUAGAUGUUGCAUGACAUUUGCUUAAAAGGUGCAAUUGCAUCACUACCAGAUGGACCUGCGUUGUAUUAGCUAGUUGGUGAGGUAACGGCUCACCAAGGCAACGAUACAUAGACGACCUGAGAGGGUGAUCGGCCACACUGGGACUGAGACACGGCCCAGACUCCUACGGGAGGCAGCAGUAGGGAAUCUUCGGCAAUGGACGGAAGUCUGACCGAGCAACGCCGCGUGAGUGAAGAAGGUUUUCGGAUCGUAAAGCUCUGUUGUAAGAGAAGAACGAGUGUGAGAGUGGAAAGUUCACACUGUGACGGUAUCUUACCAGAAAGGGACGGCUAACUACGUG
rnacentral:rRNA from 1 species